UGGAGGACCGAACCGACUAAUGUUGAAAAAUUAGCGGAUGACCUGUGGCUGGGGGUGAAAGGCCAAUCAAACCGGGAGAUAGCUGGUUCUCCCCGAAAGCUAUUUAGGUAGCGCCUCGUGAAUUCAUCUCCGGGGGUAGAGCACUGUUUCGGCUAGGGGGCCAUCCCGGCUUACCAACCCGAUGCAAACUGCGAAUACCGGAGAAUGUUAUCACGGGAGACACACGGCGGGUGCUAACGUCCGUCGUGAAGAGGGAAACAACCCAGACCGCCAGCUAAGGUCCCAAAGUCAUGGUUAAGUGGGAAACGAUGUGGGAAGGCCCAGACAGCCAGGAUGUUGGCUUAGAAGCAGCCAUCAUUUAAAGAAAGCGUAAUAGCUCACUGGUCGAGUCGGCCUGCGCGGAAGAUGUAACGGGGCUAAACCAUGCACCGAAGCUGCGGCAGCGACA
rnacentral:rRNA from 1 species